rnacentral:tRNA from 1 species
AUAACUGUGUCAGAUAGUAUGAGUUAGCUUUAAGCGUUAAUUAUGAGGGUUAUCCCCUUCGGUUAUU